rnacentral:rRNA from 1 species
GACGAACGCUGGCGGCGUGCCUAAUACAUGCAAGUUGAGCGAUGAAGAUUGGUGCUUGCACCAAUUUGAAGAGCAGCGAGCGGGUGAGUAACGCGUGGGGAAUCUGCCUUUGAGCGGGGGACAACAUUUGGAAACGAAUGCUAAUACCGCAUAACAACUUUAAACAUAAGUUUUAAGUUUGAAAGAUGCAAUUGCAUCACUCAAAGAUGAUCCCGCGUUGUAUUAGCUAGUUGGUGAGGUAAAGGCUCACCAAGGCGAUGAUACAUAGCCGACCUGAGAGGGGGAUCGGCCACAUUGGGACUGAGACACGGCCCAAACUCCUACGGGAGGCAGCAGUAGGGAAUCUUCGGCAAUGGACGAAAGUCUGACCGAGCAACGCCGCGGGAGGGAAGAAGGGUUUCGGAUCGUAAAACUCUGUUGGUAGAGAAGAACGUUGGUGAGAGUGGAAAGCUCAUCAAGUGACGGUAACUACACGGAAAGGGACGGCUAACUACGUG